rfam:Schistosoma mansoni strain Puerto Rico chromosome 6, complete genome
AUCCAGCUGACAAGUCUCAAGUCGGACGAAACGCACGUCCUGGAU